CAACUGCCCAAGGGCUGAGGAGUGCUCCGCCUGCGGCCCUGGUGCAGGAUCCACUGGGUGAAGCCAGCUGAGCUCCUGAGUCUAGUGGGGAUUUGGAGAACAUUUAUGUCUAGCUGAGGGACUGUAAAUGCACCAAUCAGCACUCUGUAUCUAGCUAAUCUGGUGGGGACUUGGAGAACGUUUAUGUCUAGCUAAGGGAUUGUAAAUACACCAAUCAGCACUCUGUUUCUAGCUCAAGGUUUGUAAAUGCACCAAUCAGCACCCUGUGUCUAGCUCAAGGUUUGUAAAUGCACCAAUCAAUGCUCUGUGUCUAGCUCAUCUGGUGGGGACUUGGAGAAACUUUAUGUCUAGCUAAGGGAUUGUAAACAACCAAUCAGCACUCUGUGUCUAGCUCAAGGUUUGUAAAUGCACCAAUCAGCACCCUGUGUCUAGCUCAAGGUUUGUAAAUGCACCAAUCAGCACUCUGUAUCUAGCUAAUCUGGUGGGGACUUGGAGACUCUUUAUGUCUAGCUAAGGGAUUGUAAACAACCAAUCAGCACUCUGUGUCUAGCUCAAGGUUUGUAAAUGCACCAAUCAGCACCCUAUGUCUAGCUCAAGGUUUGUAAAUGCACCAAUCAGCACUCUGUAUCUAGCUAAUCUGGUGGGGACUUGGAGAAUCUUUAUGUCUAGCUAAGGGAUUGUAAAUACACCAAUCAGCACUGUGUGUCUAGCUCAAGGUUUGUAAAUACACCAAUCAGCACCCUGUGUCUAGCUCAAGGUUUGUAAAUGCACCAAUCAGUGCUCUGUGUCUAGCUAAUCUAGUGGGGACUUGGAGAAGUUUUGUGUCUAGCUCAGGGAUUGUAAACGCACCAGUCAGCACCCUGUCAAAAUGGACCAAUCAGCUCUCUGUAAAACAGACCAAUCAGCUCUCUGUAAAACGGACCAACCAGCAGGAUGUGGGUGGGGACAGAUAAGGGAAUAAAAGCAGGCUGUCCGAGCCAGCAGUGGCAACCCACUCACGUCCCCUUCCAUGCUAUGGAAGCUCUGUUCUUUUGCUCUUUGCAAUAAAUCUUGCUGCUGCUCACUCUUUGGGUCCACACUGCCUUUAUGAGCCAUAACACUCACCGCGAAGGUCUGCAACUUCUCUCCAGAGGCCAGCAAGACCACGAACCCACUGGGAGGAAUGAACAACUCCGGACGGGAGGAACGAACCACUCUGGACGCACCGCCUUAAGAGCUAUAACACUCACUGCGAAGGUCUGCAGCUUCAUUCCUGAAGCCAGCGAGACCACGAACCCACCAGAAGGAAGAAACUCUGAACACACCCAAACAUCAGAAGGAACAAACUCCGAACACAUCAGAAGGAACAAACUGCGGACAUGCCGCCUUUAAGAACUGUAACACUCACCACGAGAUUCUGCGGCUUCAUUCUUGAAGUCAGUGAGACCAAGAACCCACCAAUUCCGGAUACAUUUUGGUGACCCAGAUGGGACUAUUACCUAUCGCCAAGCGGUGAGACCACUGCCUAUCGCUGAGCGGUGAGACUAUCACCUAUCGCCAAGCAGAGCUAGGAAGGCUGGCAGGGUGUGUGAAGAGCGUCUGGUACCUGCAGUGAACAUUUUUCCUGCACCAGAGAUCACCACCGCCCGACAGUCAGCGUCUCUCGAAAUCUUGUUGAAGCACUCUACCAUCUCUCUGUGAAGCAA
rnacentral:lncRNA from 1 species